rnacentral:rRNA from 1 species
AUUGAACGCUGGCGGCAUGCCUUACACAUGCAAGUCGAACGGCAGCAUGGAGAGCUUGCUCUCUGAUGGCGAGUGGCGAACGGGUGAGUAAUGCAUCGGAACGUACCGUGUAAUGGGGGAUAACGUAGCGAAAGUUACGCUAAUACCGCAUACGACCUGAGGGUGAAAGCAGGGGAUCGCAAGACCUUGCGUUAUACGAGCGGCCGAUGUCAGAUUAGCUAGUUGGUGAGGUAAAGGCUCACCAAGGCGACGAUCUGUAGCGGGCCUGAGAGGAUGAGCCGCCACACGGGGACUGAGACACGGCCCAGACUCCUACGGGAGGCAGCAGUGGGGAAUUUUGGACAAUGGGGGCAACCUUGAUCCAGCCAGGCCGCGUGAGUGAAGAAGGCCUUCGGGUUGUAAAGCUCUUUCGGCCGGGAAGAAAUCGCACAGGCUAAUACUCUGUGUGGAUGACGGUACCGGCAUAAGAAGCACCGGCUAACUACGUGCCAGCCGCCGCCGUAA